UCUCCCAGCGCCAAGGUCCGGAUCCUGAGCCCAUUGCUAAGCGUCCGCCCAGCUCUUUAGACUUCCUUGCUUUAGGAUUUCUACUGGCCACAGACCUACGGAGAAGGCCCGUGGGAGACCCUGAAGCCACGCAAUGGUGAGGCUGUGAGGACUGCUUUCUUAAACAAGAGUGAUUUACCAAGACUGGCAGCGUCUACUUGGUUACUCUAUUCAACAGGCAUUGAGUUGAAUAACACAUACCCCCUGUGACUUAUUAUAAUGGAGAAGUGGAAGCAAAUAAAAGCUUUGGUUUUUCCAACAUUAUCUAAUGAAUCGAACUCAAGACCUUGCGCUUGCUGGGCAGGCUCUGUGCUGCUGAGCUACAUCUCUGGCCUUAUUCUUUGAUUAAAUUAAGAACUUACAAACAGCUGUAUAAAAAUGACUUUUUCCCAGAAAACUGGAUACAAACAGUUUAAAAAUAAAAGUUUAUGAAGUUUUCCCACCUCAA